rnacentral:tRNA from 1 species
GGGGGUUUAGCUCAGUGGCAGGAGCACCUGCCUGGCAAGCAUGAGGUUGUGAGUUCAAUCCCUG